UACAGAGGUCUCAAGCGUUGUUCGGAUUCAUUGGGCGUAAAGGGUGUGUAGGUGGCGCGCUAAGUCGGGGUGUGAAAUUUCGGAGCUUAACUCCGAAACUGCAUUCGAUACUGGCGUGCUUGAGGACUGGAGAGGAGACUGGAAUUCAUGGUGUAGCAGUGAAAUGCGUAGAGAUCAUGAGGAAGACCAGUGGCGAAGGCGGGUCUCUGGACAGUUCCUGACACUGAGACACGAAAGGCCAGGGGAGCAAACGGGG
rnacentral:rRNA from 1 species